rnacentral:misc_RNA from 1 species
ACAGUUAGUGAAAUUCCUACAAAGACUGACCUUAUGCCUUCUGGUAAGGGUGAGAGUUCAGUGACUUUGCCUGUUACAGAACAAACAGCCUAUAAAGAUACUAUUCCCAAAGGGCACCAAGGCGAAUCUCUGGUGAACUUUAAGCCUUCUGUAGCGGAUGGCCAAGAAAAUGUUUCUGUCACAAAGCUGGACCAAGCUGUAGGUGGUCAACAAGCACAGGUUUUUGGUCAGCAAAGUGCUGAAGUUGGGCAGUCAUCUUUGAGGAAUUCACCCCUAGAGGGGCCUAGCUAUUUUGACAAGCAUCCUAGCAAAGCAGAAACUCAAAAAAUUACUGAAUUUAGAUCUGGUCCUGCUUCUUUCUCAAAGAAAGUUCCUUCAGAUGUCCCCAGCCAAAAAAGUGUUGACCUGCCUGUGGAUUCAC